rnacentral:lncRNA from 1 species
CAAAUUCACAUCUAUCCAUUUAUUAGUAAAGCUUGGGAAAUGUUCGUCUGAAAUUGCGUAAUGCGCAACAUUGAAAUUACGAUAAACAAUCAAUAGUGGCUCGAAUCAAAUCUAGACAACGUUCGUCGUGGCAGCUUUAUUUGGCAAAGAUGAAGGCGAAUUCCGACAAACCGGACAAGAGUUAUGCAACUUGAGCCACGGGUCGAUGCAUUCGGUGUGGAAGCAAUGUUCACAUUCGGGUAAGCACUUAACGGUCUCUUCACUUGUGUAUUCUGAUAAACAAAUGGGACAGAGAGUGUCAUUUCGCCAAGGGACACUCUUGGCUUGUUGUUGGAUUGGGAUAAAAAUGAUACAGACGGCAGGAGUUAUCACUAUGAAGAAUGCCAAGAUUUUGAUUUCAAGUUGGGGUGUAUAUGUGAGAACUUAUAGGACGAGAGGGUUACCAGAAUCAACGUAUGUGAAGCAUUUGACUUUGAGGAUGGUAUUGUUUAUGAAGCUACAUAACGGACUAAAAUCAACACAACCUGUGCAAUCCGGUGAGUCCCAUUUCAGCCAGAGGUCUUGUUUGUUGAGAUCACCUGCGAGUGGUGAAGAGACCGGAAGAAGUAGUGUCUUCAAGGUUUGACAAGAGGACGGCAUUGAACCGGUGAGAUCUGAAGGUGUGGAAUUAGUAAGGCAAUGGAUGGGUUCCAAAGAAGAGGAUUUGACGUUUUCGUUAUGACAGCUCAAGAAAGUGUAGUUGACAAGGUGAAGAGGAGAAAAAGGAGACAUUGAAGCGUCGAAGCUGAGAAGCCGUCUGGCUAAGCAGUUAUCGGGGUCUCUAAGGUGAAUACGCUGCGACUUUAUGUCUUGGACGAGAAAUCGUCUGGAAUUUGGAAGCUUUAAGGCUGUCUCACAAUGGAGGUUGAAUCCUGGGUAGUCACAUGACGAAGAUUGCUCAGGAGAUAGCCAGAAAGGGAAGCUAACGUCAAGGUUGUUUCCUCCACAUGAAGAACUGUAGCAACGUUUUGGUUUUGAGGCAUUUAGGAGAGGAAAGUAGAAGAAGAAGAAGAAAUAGAGAAGAAGAGGGAAUUGUUUUGAGAAAGUCAUAUUGUGGUAAGGCACUAAGGGAAUUGGAAUUUACAUACUUAUAGACAAUGGAAAAAGUCAUAGAACAGUAAAGCUUAUGUUUAUCUUUAUUUUACUGAAGAGGAGAAGGAUUUGUAUACCAGAAAUACUGACUAUGAGACAAUGCACUGUGAAAGAAUCAGAGAAGCUGCUGGGAGAUUCUGAUGGAAACAAUGUCACCGUCUGUUCCUGCUUUCAUUGUGUGGUACUUCACAAGGAUUCCUGCAAUUCAAAUAUCAACUGCAUGGGGUGCAAUAACUGCUUUAGGUUGGGAAUCAUCUGCCUCUCCGGUCCAAGACUUGAGGUUGAGAAUACCUAGACAGAUUUCAUGUGGAAAUGUAUGAGAGACAAAGGAGUAUGAUUCAAAGAGGAGUAAAGGAACAUAAAAGUAAGUAAUGAAGUUACCUGAGGAUGAAGAUUUUUUAAGGUGUUUGAGGUCAAAUA